UCUGUACGGAUUGCCAGGACCUUGUUGCUAAGCAGAGAGCCGCAGGUUGGCCGGUCUGUCUCUGGACGAGCUGAAGAAUUGCUCUGAUCCCCUGCCACGUAGCCCCACAUGCCCUCGGUCGGUGUUGGAAAUGAGCCACACUGCUUGCACGAAGCAUCUCCAAAGUUUUUUGUCUAUGGAAAUAAAUCAAGUGGCUGCAAAGCCCGGGCAGACGGUGCAGAGCCGGGAGGCAGGAGGGCUCCCUGCAGCGCCGACAGCAGCAGGAGCAGCACCCGCCUGCCAGCGCCAGCUCUGGGCUCUUCUCCUCCUUUCCGUGCUGUCUGGGGACAGAGAGAGCGACCAGGUCUGCAGCACCUGGAACAACAGGACUGAGAUGUCAGCUGAGGGAUGCCGGCAGCAGAUAAUCACCAACCUGAGUCAUCAGGUUUGCAUCAACACAAAGCUGCUCCAUCAGAUACAGCCUGUGCCCCAGCCAGCCCUUCUCGGGGCCUUGCUGUGGAAACCCUCCCGACAGCAGGUCUGUCCUGGGGCAGGUUCCUCCCUGGACCUCCACACCCGUUUGGGGCACGAACAGCCCCAGGCUCUGGGGAAUGUUUCUGAAUAAAACCAGAGGAGAUAUAAGG